GCCUCCCCCUCCUUGUCCCGUCCAUUGAUAGACGCAUUACUGCCUGCAGUCGCGGUGUGCCCCGAGCCACGCACCUCCAGAGCCGCUCCUGCAAGCUACCCCACGCAAGGGCAAGCGGUUGCUCCCUGCAAGCUACCCCACGGCAAGGGCAAGUGAUGCUCCCUGUAAGCUACCCCACGGCAAGGGCAAGCGGUUGCUCCCUGUAAGCUACCCCACGGCAAGGGCAAGUGAUGCUCCCUGUAAGCUACCCCACGGCAAGGGCAAGCGGUUGCUCCCUGUAAGCUACCCCACAGCAAGGGCAAGUGAUGCUCCCUGUAAGCUACCCCAUGGCAAGGGCAAGCGGUUGCUCCCUGUAAGCUACCCCACGGCAAGGGCAAGCGGUUGCUCCCUGUAAGCUACCCCACGGCAAGGGCAAGCGGUUGCUCCCUGUAAGCUACCCCACGGCAAGGGCAAGCGGUUGCUCCCUGUAAGCUACCCCACGGCAAGGGCAAGCGGUUGCUCUUACUAUGAAGAGCUCCUGCCAGGUCAUGCCCCAGAGCUGUGUGAUUACAGCAGCGACAGAGCAAACCAACUUCCCGCUCUCAAGAGAGCCUGCCCUUGCCGCGGGAGACAGGCCCACGGGUGAUUACCGCCUCCCUUCCCGCAGAGCUCCCCCGGUACCGUGUGCCCUCGCAGCCUGUCCCCCGUUACCUCUCCACGCCACUCGGAAGGCACCAGAAGUGCAUGCCCGGCCCAGGGCCGCCGCCACCGCCGCCGCCAUGCUGGGCCCUUCCCCCGCUCCCGGCCUCCUUGCUUAGCUGCCCACACUCUGCCUGAGGAGAAAGCGGAAAGAGGGAGAGCCCGGCUGAGGGGAACGCUACAGUGGAGCGGCGAAACCGACGGGCAGGAGAUGAAGGAGAAGCAGAGACAUGCUGACUUCAGACCAAUAAAGCGAUUGAGGGAGGCCUGCUGAUCAAAGAUGAAAAAUAAAACCUGUGAGGAGGACUGCUUGCCUUCAUCCCAGAUGACCACCCGAGACCUCUGAGAUGGGGGGUGUGUGGAACUGGGGCAGAGAAUGGGAAAACGCCUAUGUUAAUGAGCUCUAAGGAAUAACUGUAAUAAACUUACCUCUUAGGAUGAAAA